UAAUACGUAGGGUGCGAGCGUUAAUCGGAAUUACUGGGCGUAAAGCGUGCGCAGGCGGUUGUGUAAGACAGGUGUGAAAUCCCCGGGCUUAACCUGGGAACUGCGCUUGUGACUGCACGGCUAGAGUAUGGCAGAGGGGGGUGGAAUUCCACGUGUAGCAGUGAAAUGCGUAGAGAUGUGGAGGAACACCGAUGGCGAAGGCAGCCCCCUGGGCCAAUACUGACGCUCAUGCACGAAAGCGUGGGGAGCAAACAGG
rnacentral:rRNA from 1 species